GCUGUCAAAGUGUUUAGCACAGAGACGUUUGAUUUAUCGACUUAAAGAGGCUGCUGAUGGUUUCCAUUUUCUUAUCAAUUGCAGUUUUACUUUUUUCCGGCCUGCAGAUGGAACGGCAUGCAGCCAUUCUGGACAAGGAGGCAGUCCCAGUUGCAAAACAUCUUGAUGCAGUGUGUAACAUCAACCCUGACAAAACAAGGUCAGGAUAAAGAGUAACAUCUUCACAAGAGCUCCAAACAUGGCCUGAGAAAAAUCACUCAACUUCUUUUGGAACAGGUGCACCUGCACGAAACCAUUCGGUCAGCCAACGUGCAAUGGCAUUAAUAUGCUUUGUCCCACCGUGAUAAAGGUAGAUAUGGACGGAUGAGCCAUUUGGCCUUGUCAGUUUUCUUACAACUGAUCCAGUUGCCUUAAAACAUACUUUCUGGUGAGUUUUCUUUAAGAAGGUUUUGUACUCAUUUGUGUUUGACUCCAAUAGUGACAGAACAAUGUCUCUGAUACUACCAAUAUGAGGUGAGCUGCAAGGAAUAAAUAGGAUUUUUGUCACCUAA